rnacentral:rRNA from 1 species
GGAUGACCUCGGAUCAGGUAGGGAUACCCGCUGAACUUAAG